UGCUAUGGUGUACGGCUCUGACAUUAAAUAUACUACAUAUAUAGCUGGUUGUAAAUUCAAAAAUAUGUAGAUGAGCAAAUCUACAAGUAUCAAGCUGUUCAGCAUUUCUUCAAGUGUGUUUGAAGCUGCUAUUUUUGUAUUAUUGUUGACUCAAACAAUGACGGAUGGUGUGAUCUGACACUGAUGUACCUUGACCUUGGAGUUCACCUUUAAUGUCUUUAGAGGUUGUUCUGGGCUCUUUUGUUACCAUUCGUAUUAUCCGUCUCUUCCAUUUGUCAUCAAUUUUCCUCCUGCUGCCAUGUCCAGGGAGGUUGGCUACAGUCCCAUGGAUCUUAAAUUUCUGAAUAAUAUGUGCAACUGUAGUCACAGGAACAUCAAGCUGCUUGGAGAUGGUCUUAUAGCCUUUACCUUUAACAUGCUGGUCUAUAAUGUUCUUUCUAAUCUCCUGAGACAACUCUCUCCUUGGCUUCCUCUGGUCCAUGUUUAGUGUGGUACACACCAUGUCACCAAACAGCACAGUGACUACUUGUAACUGUCACGGGCCGAGCUCAGCCCCGCCCCCUUUCGGCCGUACAUUCCCCUGCCGGUGUGUCGCUGGUCUGUGAGGCUCUCUGCAGCUGUUGAUUAGUGGAUUGGGUGCAGCUGCGCGGGAGAGCCUCACACCUGCAGAUCAUUCCAUCUACGGCUAUAAAGACCGGCUUCACACGGUAGGGGACGUGGGCUCAUACUGCCUCAGUACCUUCAGCCGAAGUCGACACCGCAGCGCUGAAGCCACGGGAGCAGCCCGGUUUCCCCGAGCCGUCCGCCAGAUAGCGGGCGUGGACCCCGCCGCCCUGGACUGCCCCGGUUGGCCGGCAUGAGCCCGGACUGUCGGCUCCCCUGGAGUCUGACUUCCCCCUCCCUGAACUUUGUUCUAAAAGAUGACAGAAUAUGAUGCCCCAGACUGAAGAACGAUGUCAGCAUCUAUGCAGCAAACAUAAUGAAGCCUGCUGCAGAUAAAGAGUUUGAUAUGUCUCAGCAUGCAUUGAUGUCAAAUCUAGCCUUGGGAAAAAAUGAAGUAAAGCAGUCGAUCUCUCAGAAGCGUGGAGAUGAAGACAGGCUGAGCAGAAGAAAGAAUGUGACCUGUUUAAUAUAAAG